AACCCUACAGUUUUGAACUGUAAUCUGCGAGGUAACGCUUGCAUGAUGCGAACCCUGGGAAGUGAAACAUCUCAGUACCAGGAGGAAAAGAGAACAAUAGGUGUUGCGUUCCGUUCGCGCGUAUGUUCGUGCGAAUGGAACGCAACACUAGUGAUACCCUAAGUAGCGGCGAGCGAAAAGGGAAAAGCCCAAACCAGCGACUUCGGUUGCUGGGGUUGUAAGAUGCGAACUUCCGAUUUAUCGGAGAAGAGUUACAAAUCGUCUAUAUAACAGAAGCUGCUGGGAAGCAGCGCCCCAGAGGGUAAUGGCCCCGUAUGUGAAAUAUAUGACGACUCUUGUUUGUAUUCUUGAGUAGCUCGAGACACGAGUAGCUCGAGUGAAUCUGCCGGAACUAACCGGUAAGGCUAAAUACGUCCUAUGACCGAUAGUGAACUAGUACCGUGAGGGAAAGGUGAAAAGAACCCCGAGAGGGGAGUGAAAUAGACCUGAAACCGUGUACUUACAAGGGGUCGGAGCGGUGCACCAUUGUGUGUGUUAGUAAAAAUAUUGUGAGUUUUGCAGAGGAGUAGUUCCUCGGAAAGGAGAUGUUCAUUAUGAACACGGCAAUGAUUGGAACAGUAGCAACAGCCUCGUUUCUGGGGAAGUUGCCGCUGGCGAUUUCAAUCCCGAUUCUCGUGAUGCUUGCGACGCCCUAUAUGUACUUGGGCAUCUGCCUGUGGCGCGGGAGAAAGAGCAGCUGACUUAGCGGGCCAGGUGGACUGGCCCUUCUACAAAACUCAUAAUAAAAAUAAAGACUAAUACAUAGAAUGGUGCACCGUGACGGCAUGCCUAUUGAAGAAUGAGCCGGCGAGUGUGUAUAUCUUGCGUAGCUAAGCCCUUACGGGGCGGAGCUUAAGGGAAACCGAGCGUGAAUAGCGCAUUAGUAGGAUAUAUACGACCCGAAGCCAGAUGAGCUUGCCAUGAGCAGGGUGAAGUUUGUCGAAAGACAGAUGGAGGCCCGAACCCGUAGGUCGUACAACGCCUUGGGAUGACUUGUGGUAAGGAGUGAAAAGCUAAUCGAAUCUGGGAAUAGCUGGUUCUCUCCGAAACAGCUUUUGGGCUGGCGUCGCCAUA
rnacentral:rRNA from 1 species